UACAGAGGUCUCAAGCGUUGUUCGGAUUCAUUGGGCGUAAAGGGUGCGUAGGCGGCGCGGUAAGUCGGGUGUGAAAUCUUGGAGCUUAACUCCGAAACUGCAUUCGAUACUGCCGUACUUGAGGACUGGAGAGGAGACUGGAAUUUACGGUGUAGCGGUGAAAUGCGUAGAUAUCGUAAGGAAGACCAGUGGCGAAGGCGGGUCUCGUGGACAGUUCCUGACGCUGAGGCACGAAGGCCAGGGGAGCAAACGGG
rnacentral:rRNA from 1 species